CGGGGGAGCCGGUGGAGCAUUGCGGCCGGGAGGCGGCGGCUCCGGUUCCGGCGCCACCGCCACUGAUGCCGAUGCCAGAAGCGUCGCCAUGGGACUUCUUCAACCCGUUCGACUCCUACAACCAGGAGCUUCCACAUUACUCCAGCGAGGUGAGGGAAAGGGAAGGGAUCCCGGAGCUGGAGGAGGAGACGGAACACGAGUCGUCCAUGAGGGAGUCACUCAAGGCCUGGAAAGCGGUGGAGAGCACCGCGUCGAACCGGAUCGACAAUGUGGAUGUCAGUGCCAAGGUGAAGGUGUCCUCUGGAGAUGAUGUUGCCAAGAUCCUUGAGGUCGGGAGCAUUCGGUACAGACCGCGGAGCAGGAUCUUAAAAUUGAUAGUUUCACGGAUGAUGGGAACCUUUGCCUUGUUGUUCUCUGAACCUCCAGUGAAGAACGCAGAACAAUCAGCUAUUGGUUCAUCCAGCAGAACUCAGAAUUCAAGUUAAAGAAUUGAUAGUACCAGCGGUGUUGAGAUCAAUACCCUGUCUUCUAUAAUGGACAGAUUGUAUGUGUGGGAGAAAAGACUUCAUAAGGUGAUUAUGGUAUGCUCAUUCAGGGGCAUAUUAGAAUGUGGAAAUUCAUUCUUGAGUGCCACAGGAAGCAAUUUCAUUUCAUACUUGAAACUAAAUCUCAUAUUCUCGUUCCUAAGAAUGGACCUGAAAGAAACUCCUCCAAGGUUACACUCGAACUAGAAAUGGAACUUCUGAACUGGUGUUCCUGUUUCAGAAAUUGGAUAAUUUUCCAAAAGGCGUAUAUCGAAACCCUCAAUGGCUGCUUACCGAAAUGGCUUCCUCCGAAAAAGGAGGAAAUGUCUGACAGCAUCGCGCCGUUCUCUCCUGGUAGACUUUGAGCUCCUGGCGUGUUCAUCACAGCAAAUGAUUGGUGACAGACCAUGAAAAGUAUACCAGAAGGUGCUCUCGUGGAUGCGAUGGAGGCUUUCGCUGUUAAUGUGCACAUAUUAUGGGAGCGACAAGACGAAGCGCAGCAGCAGAAGAUGAAAACUGACUAUUUAUCAAAGGGAUUUCUCAAAGAGGCUCAAAUCUCACCAAAAGGAUCAAGUCUUGUCUGGGCAUCCUAAAGCUGGUACGGCGGUUUUACCCAACAACGACAAUGGCAGGGCGUUCGAUAGUCGAAUGGUAGCUUUGGAUGUAUUGCACACAAGAUUGGAUGAGAAGAGAGCUAGGCAUGAGGAGACUGUGAGAGAAAUCCAAGAGUUAAGUGCAACUGAUCUGAAAGCAGGCCUGGCUCCAAUAUUUGAAGCGUUGGAGUCUUUUACUCAAGAGACACUAAAAGGUUAUGAGAAUGUAAGGGUUCCCAGACAGUGGUAUAGUCUGAUUUCAAGGUCUUCUCGCUUUGCUUCUGAAUGAUGGUCUGUACAAUGUGAAGAAGAGAUGAUCUCAGGAGUCAAUGAAAUGAUUGCAGAUGAUUCUCGCGUCCGUCCCCUUCCCUGUGCUCCCAGCUCACCGCCGCCGUCAACCUCGUCUGUCGCCAUGGUCUCCCCGACAGUAUUAAUUCACGUGUGGAUAAGUGCAGGUGAGGGAUGUUGAACAAGUAAUGCCCUAGCCCGACGUAGUAGAUAGGUUAGCUUUCCCUUUCUUCAGUUAGCAGAAUAAGCGGGAUGAUGACCGGCAGUAGUAUAGGUUAGUUUGUUUUUUCAGUUCAGUUUCUGUUAGAGAUUAGCUAGCUUUGCGCGCCCGUUUACUGAGCAUGGGAUGGCAUGCAGUCGCAGCUGGCGGGCGCGAUCCAGCCGCAUCGCGAGGGUCGUGGGAUGGCACGACCAUUAGACUCGGGAAGUGGUUGAUCACUCGUUGUAAUUUUGUUUUCAAAUAAGAGAAAUAGAAGAGAGAAAAGCUGCAGUUUUGCACGCAGCACAAAA